GGUUUUGGUCUAGUGGUAAAGACACCCGAGUAGUACUUUUGAGGUCUUAGGUUCGACUCCUGGUGGAAGCG